rnacentral:rRNA from 1 species
CGGAAACGGAAGCUAAUACCGGAUACGAACUGCGGAGGCAUCUCCAGCAGUUGGAAAGAACUUCGGUCAAGGAUGGACUCGCGGCCUAUCAGGUAGUUGGUGAGGUAACGGCUCACCAAGCCUACGACGGGUAGCCGGCCUGAGAGGGUGACCGGCCACACUGGGACUGAGACACGGCCCAGACUCCUACGGGAGGCAGCAGUGGGGAAUAUUGCACAAUGGGCGCAAGCCUGAUGCAGCAACGCCGCGUGAGGGACGACGGCCUUCGGGUUGUAAACCUCUUUUAGUAGGGAAGAAGCGAAAGUGACGGUACCUGCAGAAAAAGCACCGGCUAACUACGUGCCAGCAGCCGCGGUAAUACGUAGGGUGCGAGCGUUGUCCGGAAUUAUUGGGCGUAAAGAGCUCGUAGGCGGUCUGUCGCGUCUGCUGUGAAAACCCGAGGCUCAACCUCGGGCCUGCAGUGGGUACGGGCAGAC